UAAAGUGCAAAGCGAUGCUUCGUUUCCCGAAUCAGAGACGAAGUAAUAACAACAGAUUAACAGUUAAUGUGAAUUCAGGUUUGUUGGGCUAAACCCACCCUGUCCCGCAGCUUUUUUUGUCCUUUUUACAUUCUCUCAUUCACACUCUGCUUCUGCUUCACUCGGCCCCUGCCUCUACCCUACCCUGCCGAUUCCUCUUCCGACUUUUAACCCACCCCGUCCCGCAGCUUAUAUAUGUUUAUUUUUUGUGUGAGGGCGCUGCCUCUGCCUCGAGCCUGCAGCUAACGGAGCGUGUUGGUGUGAGAAGUGUUGUAGAUGUAGAUGACAGAUGAAGAACAAAUUUUAAAUUUGACAAAACACCGCUAAGGUGCAGAUGCACUAUUGUCCCAAUGACCAGUUUUGGUGGCCAAAAGCUAAUUUUUAAAAGUUAAAACCAAGACUCGGACACUUUCGAAAAAUCUGAUGUGAAACCUAGCUGUCAUUAUUGCACAGAAUGUGCAGGGAAAAAGUACCAAUUUUAUUUCUGUUUUAAAUAUCUCAUAAAUUGGAAAAUACGAUUAACUGAUCCAAUUUUUUUGAUGCAUUUUAUUUAGUAGGAUUUUUACUACGUGUUCUGUAAUGUGAACGAUAUCUAGUGGUUGGCGAUGUCUUCUACAUCUAGAUGUAGUCCUGAGUGCCGGGUAUAAAAGUUGUGACACGUAAGAAGCGUCUCACACGUCCCUUCUCGUUGUUUACUACUUUUACCACGUUCUUUCUCAACAAUAUGCCAAAAUACACACAUCCAUAAACUAUUCCCUUGGGCACCCAAUAAGAAAGGCAGUAUGUAAUUCAAAAAGAAAUCAGAUUGGAGCCGUACUUUAAUCCCAAACCAUUAUUCUUUAUGAGAUGUUCUGUCAAAUCAUGCCAAAAUACAAAAAAUGCUUUGAAUGCCAGAGUAUACAAAAGGCCUUUCUGAAUUAUCAACAGGAGAUAUAAGAUAAUGAUGAUGGCAGAGGGGGACUUGGGCUAACUUUUGACUUUAUUUCAGCCAAAAAUGGGGCUAACAAGUUUUAAAAGUAGAACAAGAUAACGAACAAUUGUCUGUUUCAACAUGCCCCCUAAAAUGUGCUUCAUUCUUCUUCUCUUUUUCAAUAACGGAGAGGAACGGAGAUACAUACUUUCGUAAGUUCCAGCCGAGCUUUGAGGACUUUUUUAUAAAAUGUUCAGCAAUAUAUAAACACUGUAAGUCGCUG
rnacentral:lncRNA from 1 species